GGAGUCCUCAAACCUGAGUUGAACAUUUGGGCGGAAAAAUAAUCAGGCAUGCUUAAUUGCUCAAAAUCAAUAUCUGCCUUGCAAAGCAAUUUUCUUCUGUUUGGUGUGAUAACUGGAUAACUUUUUUUUUCUUGUCUAGUAUAGCCAAUGUUCUCUCUUUUAUCUCUUAAGAACUCAGGUUUUUAACUAUUAGUCCGAAGA
rnacentral:lncRNA from 1 species